CCCGCGCUCCUCCGGGCAGAGCGCGUGUGGCGGCCGAGCACAUGGGCCCGCGGGCCGGGCGGGCUCGGGGCGGCCGGGACGAGGAGGGGCGACGACGAGCUGCGAGCAAAGAUGUGCCCCGGGACCCCCGGCACCUUCCAGUGGAUUUCCUUGCGGAAAGGAUGUUGGCGGUCCCUGUGACCUGUGGAGACACGGCCAGAUCUGCCCUCCAGCCUGAUCUUUUGGCCAGAAGGAGAUUAAAAAGAUGCCCCUCAAGAUGGCUGUGCCUGUCAGCUGCAUGGAGCUUCGUUCAAGUAUUUUCUGAGCCUGAUGGAUUUACAGUGAUCUUCAGUGGUCUGGGGAAUAACGCUGGUGGAACCAUGCACUGGAAUGACACACGCCCGGCACAUUUCAGGAUACUAAAAGUGGUUUUAAGGGAGGCUGUGGCUGAAUGCCUCAUGGAUUCUUACAGCUUGGAUGUCCAUGGGGGACGAAGGACUGCAGCUGGCUGAGAGGGUUGAGAUCUCUGUUUACUUAGAUCUCUGCCAACUUCCUUUGGGUCUCCCUAUGGAAUGUAAGACCCCGACUCUUCCUGGUGAAGCAUCUGAUGCACGUUCCAUCCGGCGCUCAGCUGGGCUUGAGCUGACCAUACUCCCUGGAGCCUUCUCCCGAGGUGCGCGGGUGACCUUGGCACAUACAGCCAUCAUGAUGGUACUUUAAGUGGAGGCUGAAUCAUCUCCCCUUUGAGCUGCUUGGCACGUGGCUCCCUUGGUGUUCCCCUUUUACUGCCAGGACACUGAGAUUUGGAGAGAGUCUCACUCUGUGGUCCAGGCUGAAGUACAGUGGCAUGAUCCCAGGUCACUGCAACCCCCACCUCCCGGGUUCAAGUGAUCCUCCUGCCUCAGCCUCCCGAGUAGCUGGUAUUACAGGCGUGUGCCACAAAGCCUGGCUAAGUUUUGUAUUUUUAGUAGAGACGGGGUUUCACCAUGUUGGCCAGGUUGGUCUCGAACUCCUGACCUCAAGUGAUCCACUCACUUUGGCCUUUCAACGUGCUGGGAUUACAGGCGAGAGUCACCGCACCCGGACGACUCUGACAUUUUUGAAGAGUCCAGAAUCCUGUUACACCUGGGAUUUAGGCACUUUCAAUCUGAAAAAAUACAUAUCCUUUCAGCACUCUGGACGGACUUGAGAACUGUCCUUACGUGACCUAAAGCUGGAGUAUUUUGAGAUUGGAGAAUUAAGGCCAACAGAGAUUUUGAGAAACACAUUGAAGGAUCUGUUAACACUUGAUAUACCCAAUAAAAGCAGUGGUUGUGCCAGUGCUGAUCUGUCUUGAUGUGAAUGUGAACAAUGGGAACCUGAGCUGAGCAGUUAAUGCUAGGGUGACAGAAACUGGACCUCUCCCAAGACAUGUGACAGAGUAAUACAGCAGCCAACUUCUUCGCCAAAUUAAAGUUUUACAAGAUUUAACCUGUCAUCAAGACCUGGGAUUUUGGUGAGCCAGUCUUGGUGCUCUGUGUUCACCUGGUUCAUCUGAGGAGCUGCAUCUACCCUGCCCAUGCCAUAGAUCCUGCCCUGUUUGCUUCUCCUGUUGCUGCUAGUGGACAUGAGAAGGACAGAAUAACGGGCUCCCAGAUUCACAAGCCCCACCAAGAGGAUCACCCCAGGAACGCUUGGAGGCUGAGGAGUUCACUGAGGCUACUGCAUCUUGAGACUCAGGAUGAAGACCCAGCUUGGGGCUGUCAAAGGUUUUUUGCAUGUCUGACACCCAUGACUCCACCUGGACCUUAUGGCUCCACCCAGAAGCAAUUCAGCCCAACAGGAGGACAGCUUCAACCCAUUACGAUUUCAUCUCUGCCCCAACCACUCAGCAGCAAGCACCUGUUACCUGUCCACCCCCACCCCUUCCCCCAAACUGCCUUUGAAAAAUCCCUAACCUAUGAGCUUUGAAUAAGAUGAGUACGAACUUCAUCGCCCACGUGGCGUGGCCGGCCUCGUGUCUAUUAAAUUCUUUUUCUACUACAA
rnacentral:lncRNA from 1 species